UUAGUCUUACUUUUUAGUGUAAUGUGAUUGCAGAAGAACAUCAAACAGUUGCUCAGACAAGUUAAAGGCAAAAGCAACUCCUCUACGUUGUAAUUAGCAGCAUUGAUCUGUAACAGUGAUGGAGUCACUUUUACUGUUGUCAUGGCAACAGUUUCUGUCAUCUGAAACUUUGCAGUAACUAGAAGCCCCAGCUCCAUUUUUUUUUCUUGAAACCCUUAUCUUCUAGCUAAAUGUCUUAUGUCACUUAAUACAGGAAAAGAGGCUAGGAUCAUGAAAUGUUUUUCACAUUUUGUAAUUAUGGAUCAGUUUUUUUUUUUUUAAAUCUCAACAUAAAAAAUAUUUUCAAUUUUCUUUUUUUUUUUUUUUUUUUUUUUUUUUAUAUAAAAGUAAUUUCUUUUCUGUGGUUGUGGCUCAACUGCCAUUCUGUUGGACAUCUAGUGCACUGCAGAUUUUGCUAUACCCUAUGUAGUGAGCAUAUGAACUCAAUGUGGAUGUGCUGCAGGGCCUCCUCUUUGUUUUGCUUUGGAUCAUGAAAGACCUAUUGUUUUAUAAAUACACACUCAUAUAUAUUGUGUAUUACCUGAUAACCGCCUCGGUUAUUGAGGUACUUUGAUCUUAAAUGGAUAAACAAGACCAUAACAUUAAAACGUCCUUGCAGUAAACACAACUCCCUCCCCAACCCCCCUCCAUAUGAAGCCAUGGUAAUAUGAACUAUGUACCCUGAUAUUCAAAGCUCAUUAUAUCUAAUUUUGUGUCAGUGGCUCUACAAUACAAGCACAAUCCUGGACACCUGCGCUGUUUCUUGCUUCCUAUCUGGAGUGUUCAGACUCUCACACUUAUAAACCUUGUUGAGCUUCUAAAUUAAUUAUGGCAGAAAUGGAAAUUUUCUGAAGGACAUUCAUAUAAAUACUGUGUAUUACCAGAUAAUUAAAAUUAGUAAGGUACAUUUACCAGGUACAUUGCCAUGGCAAUAUGAAUUAUGUACCCUGAUAUGCAAAGGUCUUUAAAUCUAACUUUGCGUCAGUGGCUCUAAAAUACAAGAACAAUCCACAAAUAAAAAUUAUGAAUUUGAUUCAUUGCGGUAUGACAUUAGGCUUGUGCAAUAUAGAUUUUUUUCCUGCUCACGAUUUACCUUUAAUCAAAGCUGUUUCUCUAAACUACUAACAGUGACUCUUGCACACAGCAACCUGGUGGACUGUUUUUGUGUGAUUGCAGUAACAGUAAAAGAGAAAAAAUAUAAUCAGAGAAAACAACAAAAUGUCAGUCCUCCCUGCGAGGGUGAAGGCUAACACAUUACCUCCAACACUCAUAAAUUUACCACAUUAGAAAGUAAACCUGUCUGUUUCACUACAACAGCAGGCCAAUAAUGUUCUCUCUGAUUCCUGGAUAUAGACAGAUAUGGCACUGGUGACAGGACAAACAUUUGGACUGUUGCACCUGAGCCUGAGUAGUUUACUUAAUCAUUAACAGAAUAUAAGCUGUUUUCACAUGCUGUUAUUUUUUCCCAGCUCCCAGCUCACGUUUUACAUACAAUCAUAAAAGACUUUGGGUGGAAUGUGGCAUCUUUAUAAAGUUCUGCCACCAGCUUUUUUUGGUCACUGCAGUGUUUCCGAUUCACAUUCUGUAUCACAGUCUGGUAUGGCAGCUCCUCUGUGGCUGGCCGAGAGGCUCUGCGAGUGAGCGGUGAGUGUGCUACUUCUGAGAUGCCAGUGAUCCUGACCCCUUCUGCUCCUCCUCGCUGCCUGAUCCAUCCUGAUGCCCUACUUCUGGUUGGAGUUCUCAUCGGUUGAGUUCGCUCGCUGCUGCUGGGGGUGGCCCCAUAUGGACAGCCUGAAGAACUGUUUGGAUUGCUGGGGAUGGUGCCACCUGGGGGCUGUGGAGAUGGCUUGGGGAUCUCAUAUGGGGAGCUGCACUGUACUGUACUGUAAUGGCUUGGGACUGCGAUUGCUGUAGUGGCUUUGGGGCUGCAGUUGCCACGAGCAGCUUCGUACUCAGGACUCCAUCAGUGGACAGUGGAUAGAUUUUAACCAACCGGACUUCUUGCAAAAACUGUGAUGAAUUUACUGGUUGCAAAUUUGCACUAUUUGUCCAUGUAGUACACAAUAAUAGAAGGGAUUUAUUUAUAAUCGCACUGUCCGGUGUCACCCAGAUGAGGAUGGGUUCCCUUUUGAGCCUGGUUCCUCUCAAGGUUUCUUCCUCAUAUUGUCUCAGGGAGUUUUUCCUUGCUACCGUUGCCUCUGGCUCGCACAUUAGGGAUAAAUUCACAUAUUUACAAUAUAUUUUUUGUGAAUCCAUUUAUUUCUGUAAAGCCGCUUUGUGACAAUGUUCAUUGUUAAAAGUGCAAUACAAAUAAAACUGAAUUGAAUUGAAUUUGUGUUCAUUCAGUUACAAGAGCAUUAGUGAGGUCAGGCACUGAUGUUGGUGAGGAGGUCUGGGGUGCAGUCAGUUUUUUUUUUAAAGCGAAGAAUCAUCACACCAAAUAUUGACUUUGUUUCAUUUAUUACUGUUUACUGCUCUUUAUAGUAUUUUUUUAAUGUAGAAACAUUUAUUUCAUUAUUUUUGAAGGCAUCUUUGCAUGUGCCUAAGACUUUUGCACAGCAAUGUAUAUACACAUUUAUGUACUUCUGCAAAAUCCUAUGGUACAAAAAAAAAUUAAAAAAAUACGGUGACAAUAUGUUAAAAAGACAGAUGA